rnacentral:rRNA from 1 species
UUUGAUCCUGGCUCAGAUUGAACGCUGGCGGCAUGCCUUACACAUGCAAGUCGAACGGCAGCGCGGGGCAACCUGGCGGCGAGUGGCGAACGGGUGAGUAAUAUAUCGGAACGUACCCUGGAGUGGGGGAUAACGUAGCGAAAGUUACGCUAAUACCGCAUACGAUCUAAGGAUGAAAGUGGGGGAUCGCAAGACCUCAUGCUCCUGGAGCGGCCGAUAUCCGAUUAGCUAGUUGGUGGGGUAAAGGCCUACCAAGGCAUCGAUCAGUAGCUGGUCUGAGAGGACGACCAGCCACACUGGAACUGAGACACGGUCCAGACUCCUACGGGAGGCAGCAGUGGGGAAUUUUGGACAAUGGGCGAAAGCCUGAUCCAGCAAUGCCGCGUGAGUGAAGAAGGCCUUCGGGUUGUAAAGCUCUUUUGUCAGGGAAGAAACGGUGAGGGCUAAUAUCCCUUGCUAAUGACGGUACCUGAAGAAUAAGCACCGGCUAACUACGUGCCAGCAGCCGCGGUAAUACGUAGGGUGCAAGCGUUAAUCGGAAUUACUGGGCGUAAAGCGUGCGCAGGCGGUUUUGUAAGUCUGUCGUGAAAUCCCCGGGCUCAACCUGGGAAUUGCGAUGGAGACUGCAAGGCUAGAAUCUGGCAGAGGGGGGUAGAAUUCCACGUGUAGCAGUGAAAUGCGUAGAGAUGUGGAGGAACACCGAUGGCGAAGGCAGCCCCCUGGGUCAAGAUUGACGCUCAUGCACGAAAGCGUGGGGAGCAAACAGGAUUAGAUACCCUGGUAGUCCACGCCCUAAACGAUGUCUACUAGUUGUCGGGUUUUAAUUGAACUUGGUAACGCAGCUAACGCGUGAAGUAGACCGCCUGGGGAGUACGGUCGCAAGAUUAGAACUCAAAGGAAUUGACGGGGACCCGCACAAGCGGUGGAUGAUGUGGAUUAAUUCGAUGCAACGCGAAAAACCUUACCUACCCUUGACAUGUACGGAAGCCACGAGAGAUCGAGGUGUGCUCGAAAGAGAACCGUAACACAGGUGCUGCAUGGCUGUCGUCAGCUCGUGUCGUGAGAUGUUGGGUUAAGUCCCGCAACGAGCGCAACCCUUGUCAUUAGUUGCUACGAAAGAGCACUCUAAUGAGACUGCCGGUGACAAACCGGAGGAAGGUGGGGAUGACGUCAAGUCCUCAUGGCCCUUAUGGGUAGGGCUUCACACGUCAUACAAUGGUACAUACAGAGGGCCGCCAACCCGCGAGGGGGAGCUAAUCCCAGAAAGUGUAUCGUAGUCCGGAUUGUAGUCUGCAACUCGACUACAUGAAGUUGGAAUCGCUAGUAAUCGCGGAUCAGCAUGUCGCGGUGAAUACGUCCCCGGGUCUUGUACACACCGCCCGUCACACCAUGGGAGCGGGUUUUACCAGAAGUAAGUAGCUUAACCGCGACGGGGGGCGCUUACCAC